rnacentral:rRNA from 1 species
UACGUAGGGUGCAAGCGUUAUCCGGAAUUAUUGGGCGUAAAGAGCUCGUAGGCGGUUUGUCGCGUCUGCUGUGAAAACUGGGGGCUCAACCCCCCAGCCUGCAGUGGGGUACGGGCAGACUAGAGUGCGGUAGGGGAGAUUGGAAUUCCUGGUGUAGCGGUGGAAUGCGCAGAUAGUCGAGGAGGAACACCGAUGGCGAAGGCAGAUCUCUGGGCCGUAACUGACGCGAGGAGCGAAAGCAUGGGGAGCGAACAGGAUUAGAUACCCCCGUGUAAGUCCGAGACCAAAGUCCUCGUGCUACCCGUAAU